AUUGAACGCUGGCGGCAGGCUUAACACAUGCAAGUCGAGCGGGGGGAGGUAGCUUGCUACCGGACCUAGCGGCGGACGGGUGAGUAAUGCUUAGGAAUCUGCCUAUUAGUGGGGGACAGCAUCUCGAAAGGGAUGCUAAUACCGCAUACGUCCUACGGGAGAAAGCAGGGGAUCUUCGGACCUUGCGCUAAUAGAUGAGCCUAAGUCGGAUUAGCUAGUUGGUGGGGUAAAGGCCUACCAAGGCGACGAUCUGUAGCGGGUCUGAGAGGAUGAUCCGCCACACUGGGACUGAGACAAGGCCCAGACUCCUACGGGAGGCAGCAGUGGGGAAUAUUGGACAAUGGGGGGAACCAUGAUCCAGCCAUGCCGCGUGUGUGAAGAAGGCCUUAUGGUUGUAAGCACUUUAAGCGAGGAGGAGGCUACUUUAGUUAAUACCUAGAGAUAGUGGACGUUACUCGCAGAAUAAGCACCGGCUAACUCUGUGCCAGCCGCCGCGGUAA
rnacentral:rRNA from 1 species